AACGAACGCUGGCGGCGUGGAUAAGACAUGCAAGUCGAACGGGAUUUGUUUGGUAGCAAUAUCAAGCAAGUCCAGUGGCGUAAGGGUGCGUAACACGUGGGCAAUCUGCCGAGAAGUGGGGGAUAGCUCGCCGAAAGGCGAAUUAAUACCGCAUAUGGUUAGUGAAGACAUCUUCACGAUACCAAAGCCGGGGCAACCUGGCGCUUCUUGAUGAGCCCGCGGCCUAUCAGCUAGUUGGUGAGGUAACGGCUCACCAAGGCUAUGACGGGUAGCUGGUCUGAGAGGACGACCAGUCACACUGGAACUGAGACACGGUCCAGACACCUACGGGUGCAGCAGUCGAGUAAUUUUUCUCAAUGGGGAAACCCUGAAGGAGCGACGCCGCGUGGAGGA
rnacentral:rRNA from 1 species